rnacentral:rRNA from 1 species
ACGACCGUACCGCAAACCGACACUGGUGCGCGAGAUGAGUAUUCUAAGGCGCUUGAGAGAACUCAGGAGAAGGAACUCGGCAAAUUGACACCGUAACUUCGGAAGAAGGUGUGCCUUUAGUAGGUGAAGUCCCUCGCGGAUGGAGCCCAAUGAGGUUGCAAAAAAUCGGUGGCUGCGACUGUUUAUUAAAAACACAGCACUCUGCAAACACGAAAGUGGACGUAUAGGGUGUGACGCCUGCCCGGUGCUGGAAGAUUAAAUGAUGGGGUGCAAGCUCUUGAUUGAAGUCCCAGUAAACGGCGGCCGUAACUAUAACGGUCCUAAGGUAGCGAAAUUCCUUGUCGGGUAAGUUCCGACCUGCACGAAUGGCGUAACGAUGGCCACACUGUCUCCUCCUGAGACUCAGCGAAGUUGAAAUGUUUGUGAUGAUGCAAUCUCCCCGCGGAAAGACGGAAAGACCCCAUGAACCUUUACUGUAGCUUUGUAUUGGACUUUGAACAGAUCUGUGUAGGAUAGGUGGGAGGUUUUGAAGCAGGGUCGCUAGAUCUUGUGGAGCCAACGUUGAAAUACCACCCUGGUGUGUUUGAGGUUCUAACCUAGGCCCGUAAUCCGGGUUGGGGACAGUGCAUGGUAGGCAGUUUGACUGGGGCGGUCUCCUCCCAAAGUGUAACGGAGGAGUUCGAAGGUACGCUAGUUACGGUCGGACAUCGUGACGAUAGUGCAAUGGCAUAAGCGUGCUUAACUGCGAGACUGACAAGUCGAGCAGAUGCGAAAGCAGGACAUAGUGAUCCGGUGGUUCUGUAUGGAAGGGCCAUCGCUCAACGGAUAAAAGGUACUCUGGGGAUAACAGGCUGAUACCGCCCAAGAGUUCAUAUCGACGGCGGUGUUUGGCACCUCGAUGUCGGCUCAUCUCAUCCUGGGGCUGUAGCCGGUCCCAAGGGUAUGGCCGUUCGCCAUUUAAAGAGGUACGUGAGCUGGGUUUAAAACGUCGUGAGACAGUUUGGUCCCUAUCUUCCGUGGGCGCUGCAGAUUUGAGGAAGCCUGCUCCUAGUACGAGAGGACCGGAGUGGACGCACCUCUGGUGUAUCGGUUGUCACGCCAGUGGCAUUGCCGAGUAGCUAUGUGCGGAAGAGAUAACCGCUGAAAGCAUCUAAGCGGGAAACUCGUUUCAAGAUGAGAUCUGCCGGGGCCUUGAGCCCCCUGAAGAGUCGUUCAAGACCAGGACGUUGAUAGGUCGGGUGUGGAAGCGCAGUAAUGCGUUAAGCUAACCGAUACUAAUUGCUCGUGCGGCUUGACCC